UACGAAGGGUGCAAACGUUGCUCGGAAUUAUUGGGCGUAAAGCGCACGUAGGCGGCUUAGCAAGUUGGAUGUGAAAUCCCCGGGCUCAACCUGGGAACUGCAUCCAAAACUGGCGAGCUAGAGUAUGGUAGAGGGUGGUGGAAUUUCCUGUGUAGCGGUGAAAUGCGUAGAUAUAGGAAGGAACACCAGUGGCGAAGGCGACCACCUGGACUGAUACUGACACUGAGGUGCGAAAGCGUGGGGAGCAAACAGG
rnacentral:rRNA from 1 species